GGAGAGAGAACGCGGCGGCGGCGCGAGAACGCGCGCGCGCCUUUUUGCGCGGCUGUUGGAGAUGCUCUAAGGGAAAGGCAUGCACGCUGCUGCUGCGUCCCUUACCUUGCUUUAUCUACUACUUUAACUAGGAAAGAACAUGCGCUGCUGCUGCUGCGUAGCCAUCUGAAGACAGGAGUGACACCCAGAUGGAAGCCCGCCAGGUGGACAACUUUCGUCCAAGCCUCUUGAUGAUCGGCAGCAAACUCGUCGUGGAGGCCUUGUGGGCGGGGAGAUGAAGCCCAUGUUUGUGUGAAGCCAGGAGGCCACACCGAAGACAUGAAGAAGUGCAGGAGGCCACACCGAAGACAUGAAGAAGUGCACGCACGGUGGCAAUGUCGUGGCGGUCCGGGUGGCAGAAGAUGACUACGUCGUCCGUGUAUAGGGAUAUGGUCGAGGUUGCAUGGCGCCGGGUGGCAGAAGAUGACUACGUCGUCCGUGUAUAGGGAUAUGGUCGAGGUUGCAUGGCGCGUAGUGAGGCGCUGGAGAAGGCUGAGGUCCAUCGCUCGUAGAAGCAUGGAGUUAAGCACAAUAUCGAGCUUGAGGAGCAUGCGCGGCACCUUGAGAUUGUGCAGGAGGCGAGCUGUUUGUUGCACCAAGAGGAAGUUGUCGUGGAUGCAACGCCCCGCAAUGAAUGUGCUUUGUUUAGUGGACACCAUGGAUCCCAAUCAUGGCGCGAACCUAUUUGAAUAUCAAAUAUACUAGAUGGUCAUUAGAUGUUCCAUUUUCCAUGUAAUGUUCUCUAUGUUACUUAUCUAGCUGGAUAUAGGCAAAACUUUUACUGGAUGGCGUGUCAUUUAUUGUCUAAUCAGUUGAAUUUAUGUAACAUAUGUUGGUCA